rnacentral:rRNA from 1 species
GACGGAGGGCGCAAGCGUUAAUCGGAUUUAUUGGGCGUAAAGGGCGCGUAGGUGGGAAUGUAAGUCGGAUGUGAAAUCCCGGGGCUCAACUCCGGAACGGCAUUUGAAACUACAUUCCUUGAGGGUAGAAGGAGAGAACGGAAUUCCACGUGUAGCGGUGAAAUGCGUAGAUAUGUGGAAGAACACCGGUGGCGAAGGCGGUUCUCUAUUUUAUUCCUGACACUGAGGCGCGAAAGCAAGGGGAUCAAACAGG